GUAACACAUGCAAGUCGAACGCCCCUUCGGGGGAGUGGCAGACGGGUGAGUAACGCGUGGGAAUCUACCCAACCCUACGGAACAACUCGAGGAAACUUGAGCUAAUACCGUAUACGCCCUUUUGGGGAAAGAUUUAUCGGGGAUGGAUGAGCCCGCGUUUGAUUAGCUAGUUGGUGGGGUAAUGGCCUACCAAGGCGACGAUCAAUAGCUGGUCUGAGAGGAUGAUCAGCCACAUUGGGACUGAGACACGGCCCAAACUCCUACGGGAGGCAGCAGUGGGGAAUAUUGGACAAUGGGGGCAACCCUGAUCCAGCCAUGCCGCGUGAGUGAUGAAGGCCCUAGGGUUGUAAAGCUCUUUCAACGGUGAAGAUAAUGACGGUAACCGUAGAAGAAGCCCCGGCUAACUUCGUGCCAGCAGCCGCGGUAAUACGAAGGGGGCUAGCGUUGUUCGGAUUUACUGGGCGUAAAGCGCACGUAGGCGGAUCGUUAAGUGAGGGGUGAAAUCCCGGGGCUCAACCCCGGAACUGCCUCUCAUACUGGCGAUCUGGAGUUCGAGAGAGGUGAGUGGAAUUCCGAGUGUAGAGGUGAAAUUCGUAGAUA
rnacentral:rRNA from 1 species